UUUGCAGCUCAGUAACUAUUCCUCCUUCGAGGGAGUUCUAUACUGCAAACCUCAUUUUGAUCAAUUGUUCAAGAUGAGUGGCAGCUUGGAUAAGAGUUUCGAAGGCACUCCAAAAACGACCAGAGUGAACAGAUCUUCUGAACAGGGCCAUAACAACAACAAAGUCUCGAGUAUGUUUGGUGAGACUCAAGAAAAGUGUGUUGCUUGCAAGAAAACUGUUUACUCUUUAGAACAGGUAUGAGUUUAUAUGUGAUCAAAGAAUUUUAAGCUCAUAGUGGCUCAUUAUUUUUGGCUGUAAAAUAAUAGUUGGGAGCUCGGGAGUCUGAGCUCUUAUACCAUGUAAAGUGACUAAUU